rnacentral:tRNA from 1 species
GCUCAGUUAGUUAAGUAUCCAACUCUUGAUUUCAGCUCAGGUUAUGAUCUCAGGGUUGUGAGAUCAAGUCUCUCAUUGGGCU